rnacentral:rRNA from 1 species
AUGCACGCUGGCGGCGUGCCUAAUACCUGCAAGUCGAGCGCACAGAUGAGGAGCUUGCUCCUCUGACGUUAGCGGCGGACGGGUGAGUAACACGUGGAUAACCUACCUAUAAGACUGGGAUAACUUCGGGAAACCGGAGCUAAUACCGGAUAAUAUAUUGAACCGCAUGGUUCAAUAGUGAAAGACGGUUUUGCUGUCACUUAUAGAUGGAUCCGCGCCGCAUUAGCUAGUUGGUAAGGUAACGGCCUACCAAGGCAACGAUGCGUAGCCGACCUGAGAGGGUGAUCGGCCACACUGGAACUGAGACACGGUCCAGACUCCUACGGGAGGCAGCAGUAGGGAAUCUUCCGCAAUGGGCGAAAGCUUGACGGAGCAACGCCGCGUGAGUGAUGAAGGUCUUCGGAUCGUAAAACUCUGUUAUUAGGGAAGAACAAAUGUGUAAGUAACUAUGCACGUCUUGACGGUACCUAAUCAGAAAGCCACGGCUAACUACGUG